AUGAACGCUAGCUACAGGCUUAACACAUGCAAGUCGAGGGGCAGCAUGAACUUAGCUUGCUAAGUUUGAUGGCGACCGGCGCACGGGUGAGUAACACGUAUCCAACCUGCCGAUGACUCGGGGAUAGCCUUUCGAAAGAAAGAUUAAUACCCGAUGGCAUAGUUCUUCCGCAUGGUAGAACUAUUAAAGAAUUUCGGUCAUCGAUGGGGAUGCGUUCCAUUAGGUUGUUGGCGGGGUAACGGCCCACCAAGCCUUCGAUGGAUAGGGGUUCUGAGAGGAAGGUCCCCCACAUUGGAACUGAGACACGGUCCAAACUCCUACGGGAGGCAGCAGUGAGGAAUAUUGGUCAAUGGACGAGAGUCUGAACCAGCCAAGUAGCGUGAAGGAUGACUGCCCUAUGGGUUGUAAACUUCUUUUAUACGGGAAUAAAGUGAGGCACGUGUGCCUUUUUGUAUGUACCGUAUGAAUAAGGAUCGGCUAACUCCGUGCCAGCAGCCGCGGUAAUACGGAGGAUCCGAGCGUUAUCCGGAUUUAUUGGGUUUAAAGGGAGCGUAGGCGGACGCUUAAGUCAGUUGUGAAAGUUUGCGGCUCAACCGUAAAAUUGCAGUUGAUACUGGGUGUCUUGAGUACAGUAGAGGCAGGCGGAAUUCGUGGUGUAGCGGUGAAAUGCUUAGAUAUCACGAAGAACUCCGAUUGCGAAGGCAGCCUGCUGGACUGUAACUGACGCUGAUGCUCGAAAGUGUGGGUAUCAAACAGGAUUAGAUACCCUGGUAGUCCACACAGUAAACGAUGAAUACUCGCUGUUUGCGAUAUACAGUAAGCGGCCAAGCGAAAGCGUUAAGUAUUCCACCUGGGGAGUACGCCGGCAACGGUGAAACUCAAAGGAAUUGACGGGGGCCCGCACAAGCGGUGGAGCAUGUGGUUUAAUUCGAAGCAACGCGAAGAACCUUACCAGGUCUUGACAUCCCGAUGCUAUUCUUAGAGAUAGGAAGUUACUUCGGUACAUCGGAGACAGGUGGUGCAUGGUUGUCGUCAGCUCGUGUCGUGAGAUGUUGGGUUAAGUCCCGCAACGAGCGCAACCCUUAUUGUUAGUUGCCAUCAUUUAGUUGGGCACUCUAGCGAGACUGCCGGUGACAAACCGGAGGAAGGUGGGGAUGACGUCAAAUCAGCACGGCCCUUACGUCCGGGGCUACACACGUGUUACAAUGGGGGGUACAGAAGGCAGCUACACGGCGACGUGAUGCUAAUCCCGAAAGCCUCUCUCAGUUCGGAUUGGAGUCUGCAACCCGACUCCAUGAAGCUGGAUUCGCUAGUAAUCGCGCAUCAGCCACGGCGCGGUGAAUACGUUCCCGGGCCUUGUACACACCGCCCGUCAAGCCAUGAAAGCCGGGGGUACCUGAAGUGCGUAACCGCAAGGAGCGCCCUAGGGUAAAACUGGUGAUUGGGGCU
rnacentral:rRNA from 1 species